GAUGAACGCUAGCGGGAGGCCUAACACAUGCAAGCCGAGCGGUAUUGUUUCUUCGGAAAUGAGAGAGCGGCGUACGGGUGCGGAACACGUGUGCAACCUGCCUUUAUCUGGGGGAUAGCCUUUCGAAAGGAAGAUUAAUACUCCAUAAUAUAUUGAACGGCAUCGUUUAAUAUUGAAAGCUCCGGCGGAUAGAGAUGGGCACGCGCAAGAUUAGCUAGUUGGUGAGGUAACGGCUCACCAAGGCAAUGAUCUUUAGGGGGCCUGAGAGGGUGAUCCCCCACACUGGUACUGAGACACGGACCGGACUCCUACGGGAGGCAGCAGUGAGGAAUAUUGGUCAAUGGGUGCAAGCCUGAACCAGCCAUCCCGCGUGAAGGACGACUGCCCUAUGGGUUGUAAACUUCUUUUGUAUAGGGAUAAACCUUUCCACGUGUGGAAAGCUGAAGGUACUAUACGAAUAAGCACCGGCUAACUCCGUGCCAGCCGCCGCCGUAAAAC
rnacentral:rRNA from 1 species